rnacentral:lncRNA from 1 species
UUGCGCACAGUAAGGACCAUGAAAGUUGCUGGUGGUGACCCCAUGAGUACAGUGAAAGCAGGGCUACCUGUCAGGAGUCCCAUUAGGCGCUGGCUGCCCCCCUCUCUUGCUCAACAGCCCUCCUGGGUUAGGAUACUGAAAACAGGUGACCUUCAUCCACUUUGACGGAACAUUUUGACCUGCCUUGUGUACCCAAGGUACCCAAGGCCUUAAUGAUUUGAACACUUAGACAGAGAAGACACCUAAGAUCAUGUUCCCCUCAAUGUCCUCCACAUACACUGUCUACACAACAUUUGUAAAGACUGGACGCCGGUAGGCACAAAUCUAAUGUCAAAUCUGGGAUAGCUAUGAAUCAAUUUAGAAUUUUGAAUAUAUUUGAGUAAUAAUGCCUAAAGAAAAGCCUAGACUGAUUGACGCUGGAUCUUCAAGAAUUUUCAUGCUGAGAGCUGUGCAGUUGGACACACUAAUUGAUGUCUUCCAUCUGAAAAUCUCAACAGAAAACUUGAAAUGGUGCACAGUUAAAUGCCAA